rnacentral:rRNA from 1 species
CCAAUAGCGUAUAUUAAAGUUGUUGCAGUUAAAAAGCUCGUAGUUGAAUUUCGGGGUUAGUAGGUUGGUCAUGCCUCUGGUAUGUACUGGUCUCACUGAUUCCUCCCUCCUGAUGAACCUUAAUGCCAUUAAUUUGGUGUUUUGGGGAACUUGGACUGUUAUUUUGAAAAAAUUAGAGUGUUUAAAGCAAGCUAACGCUUGAAUACAUUAGCAUGGUAUAAUGAAAUAGGACGUUCGAUCCUAUUUUGUUGGUUUCUAGGAUUGACGUAAUGAUUAAUAGGGAUAGUUGGGGGCAUUAGUAUUCAAUUGUCAGAGGUGAAAUUCUUGGAUUUAUUGAAGACUAACUACUGCGAAAGCAUUUGCCAAGGAUGUUUUCAUUAAUCAAGAACGAAAGUUAGGGGAUCGAAGACGAUCAGAUACCGUCGUAGUCUUAACCAUAAACUAUGCCGACUAGGGAUCGGAUGAUGUUAAUUUUUUAAUGACUCAUUCGGCGCCUUACG